UGCCAUCCUGCAAGGCAGAUUUGG
rnacentral:siRNA from 1 species